CGUUCACGCGAUUAGACGCUGAUUAGUUCGCGCGACCAGAACGGAUAUUAUUUACCCCAGAAUCCACACAAUAACCACCGAUUAAAUAGGAACAAAGGGAGCACGGGAGUAACUAACGGAAAUGUCUGUUGCGGGUUCAAAAAGCAGUUUCAUAAAGCGACACAGAAAGUCAGUGAGAAGGUCGGAGGGCCGAGGGCACUAAACUGGACGAUGACUUCAAAGAAAUGGAAAAGAAAGUGGACGCCACGAGCAGAGCGGUGCUCGACAUCAUGACCAAAACCACAGAAUACCUGCAGCCAAACCCCG